rnacentral:rRNA from 1 species
CUCAAUUUAAAUCUGGCGGUCUUUUGCCGUCCGAGUUGUAAUCUAGAGAAGUAAUGCCCGUGCUGGACCGUGUAUAAGUCUCCUGGGAUGGGGCGUCAUAGAGGGUGAGAAUCCCGUCUUUGACACGGACUACCAGUGCAUUGUGGUAUGCUCUCAAAGAGUCGAGUUGUUUGGGAAUGCAGCUCAAAAUGGGUGGUAAAUUCCAUCUAAAGCUAAAUAUUGGCGAGAGACCGAUAGCGAACAAGUACCGUGAGGGAAAGAUGAAAAGAACUUUGGAAAGAGAGUUAAACAGUACGUGAAAUUGCUGAAAGGGAAACGCUUGAAGUCAGUCGCGUUGGCCAGGGAUCAGCCUUGCUUUUGCAUGGUGUAUUUUCUGGUUAACGGGUCAGCAUCAAUUUUGACCACUGGAAAAGGGCCUGGGGAAUGUGGCAGCUUAGGCUGUGUUAUAGCCCCUGGUCGCAUACAGUGGUUGGGAUUGAGGAACUCAGCACGCCGCAAGGCCGGGUUUCGACCACGUUCGUGCUUAGGAUGCUGGCAUAAUGGCUUUAAGCGACCCGUCUUGAAACACGGACCAAGGAGUCUAACAUGCCUGCGAGUAUUUGGGUGGAAAACCCGAGUGCGCAAUGAAAGUGAAAGUUGAGAUCCCUGUCGUGGGGAGCAUCGACGCCCGGACCAGAACUUUUGGGACGGAUCCGCGGUGGAGCAUGUAUGUUGGGACCCGAAAGAUGGUGAACUAUGCCUGAAUAGGGUGAAGCCAGAGGAAACUCUGGUGGAGGCUCGUAGCGAUUCUGACGUGCAAAUCGAUCGUCAAAUUUGGGUAUAGGGGCGAAAGACUAAUCGAACCAUCUAGUAGCUGGUUCCUGCC